rnacentral:rRNA from 1 species
GACGAACGCUGGCGGCGUGCUUAACACAUGCAAGUCGAACGGAAAGGCCCAGCUUGCUGGGUGCUCGAGUGGCGAACGGGUGAGUAACACGUGGGUGAACUGCCCCUAACUUCGGGAUAAGCUUGGGAAACUGGGUCUAAUACCGGAUAGGACAAUCGUUUAGUGUCGGUUGUGGAAAGUUUUUUCGGUUAGGGAUGAGCCCGCGGCCUAACAGCUUGUUGGUGGGGUAAUGGCCUACCAAGGCGUCGACGGGUAGCCGGCCUGAGAGGGUGGACGGCCACACUGGGACUGAGAUACGGCCCAGACUCCUACGGGAGGCAGCAGUGGGGAAUAUUGCACAAUGGGCGCAAGCCUGAUGCAGCGACGCCGCGUGGGGGAUGACGGCCUUCGGGUUGUAAACCUCUUUCGACAGGGACGAAGCUUUGGUGACGGUACCUGUAUAAGAAGCACCGGCUAACUACGUG